AAAGCCUCACUUUCUGGGAGUCACAAAGCAAUGCAACUGCAACUCUCCCUCUGAAUAUUCUAUGCCGGAAAGCUUCUGAUUCCGGCCACCACACUCUCUCUUUCUCUCUUCCAAUGGCCGCUGUUACUUCUUCGUUCUCUUUCUCUACGCUCACUCAAUCUUCGCAGAGGAACCUCACUCCCUCUUCCACUCGCUUUCCUGAUUCCAAUUCACGCGCCUUUCGCUUCAACCUCGGUUUCUCCUGCCACUAUGUUGGAGUUCGAGCUUCGAAUUCCGCUUCCAAAUUUGUUGUUCGCUGCUCCUCUUCCGUGUCAGACCCUCCAACUGUUUCUGAGACAAAGUCAAAUUUUCUCAAGGCAUAUAAGCGACCAAUUCCUAGUAUCUACAACUCGGUACUGCAGGAGCUUAUUGUCCAGCAACAUUUGAUGAGAUACAAGAGGUCAUACUGUUAUGACCCUGUAUUUGCUCUUGGCUUUGUCACUGUAUAUGAGCAACUCAUGGAAGGGUAUCCUAGUGAUGAGGACCGAGAUGCCAUCUUCCAAGCAUACAUUAAUGCAUUGAAUGAAGAUCCUGACCAAUACAGAUUAGAUGCAAAGAAAUUGGAAGAGUGGGCUCGGGCUCAAAACUCAACUUCACUAGUUGAGUUUUCAUCCAGAGAGGGAGAAGUUGAGGGGAUAUUAAAGGAUAUUGUAGAAAGAGCAGGAGGAAAGGGGGAUUUCAGUUAUAGUCGUUUCUUCGCAAUAGGCCUCUUUCGUCUUCUUGAGUUGGCAAAUGCAAUGGAACCAAUAAUUUUGGAAAAGGUUACCCAAUUCAUUUUUGGCAUCAUGAUAUAUUGAUUUGAAUUUAUUCAAAUACUUAUUUUAUUUAUAUAUUUUGUUUUACAAUUUGAAACUACCCAGUUAGUUUUCAUUUAUAUCAGGUCUAGAAAACUACUCGUUCAAGAUUUUAGAUGUCCUCUAUUGGGCCUGUUCAGCUGUGUGCAGUUUUGAAUGUCAACAAAAGAAGUGUGGAUCGGGAUUUGGAUGUGUACCGUAAUAUGCUUUCUAAGCUGGUUCAAGCUAAAGAGCUGCUAAAGGAAUAUGUUGACAGGGAGAAGAAGAAAAGAGAAGAAAGGGCUGAACCGCAAAAGGCUAAUGAAGCCUUUACGAAAUCUUUGGGACAACAGCAAUUUUCUGGCAUGUAGUUAUGGGGCCAUCUUCUGAAAUGAUCAUCACCCUGUGAGGAUUUGGUAUUUUUUUACUUGCUUUUUUUGGUUGGUCCCGAGGCGUUGGGUAAUCAGAGUGGGGCCCCUCUUAUCAUCAUGGUUUUGCACACUGUAUUUGAUGUUUCUUCUGCCAUGGUGAUCCAGCUAAAUCCUUGUUUCUGCUCUACCACAAUUAAUUUACACCUCCAACACAGUCUUCUGUAAUCUUAUUGUAUUUUUUCCUCCACACAGUCGCAAUUGUAUUUUGUAGUUCUCAAAUGCUUGCCUGAAGGCAUAUAUUCUGGUUAUUGAAUUUCUUCAUAUCUC